GAUGAACGCUGGCGGCGUGCCUAAUACAUGCAAGUCGAGCGAACGGACGAGAAGCUUGCUUCUCUGAUGUUAGCGGCGGCCGGGUGAGUAACACGUGGAUAACCUACCUAUAAGACUGGGAUAACUUCGGGAAACCGGAGCUAAUACUGGAUAAUAUUUUGAACCGCUUGGUUCAAAAGUGAAAGACGGUCUUGCUGUCACUUAUAGAUGGAUCCGCGCUGCAUUAGCUAGUUGGUAAGGUAACGGCUUACCAAGGCAACGAUGGAUAGCCGACCUGAGAGGGUGAUCGGCCACACUGGAACUGAGACACGGUGCAGACUCCUACGGGAGGCAGCAGUAGGGAAUCUUCCGCAAUGGGCGGAAGCCUGACGGAGCAGCGCCGCGUGAGUGAUGAAGGUCUUCGGAUCGUAAAACUCUGUUAUUAGGGAAGAACAUAUGUGUAAGUAACUGUGCACAUCUUGACGGUACCUAAUCAGAAAGCCACGGCUAACUACGUG
rnacentral:rRNA from 1 species